rnacentral:rRNA from 1 species
GUGGGGAAUAUUGGACAAUGGGGGGAACCCUGAUCCAGCCAUGCCGCGUGUGUGAAGAAGGCCUUUUGGUUGUAAAGCACUUUAAGCGAGGAGGAGGCUACCGAGAUUAAUACUCUUGGAUAGUGGACGUUACUCGCAGAAUAAGCACCGGCUAACUCUGUGCCAGCAGCCGCGGUAAUACAGAGGGUGCAAGCGUUAAUCGGAUUUACUGGGCGUAAAGCGCGCGUAGGUGGCCAAUUAAGUCAAAUGUGAAAUCCCCGAGCUUAACUUGGGAAUUGCAGUCGAUACUGGUUGGCUAGAGUAUGGGAGAGGAUGGUAGAAUUCCAGGUGUAGCGGUGAAAUGCGUAGAGAUCUGGAGGAAUACCGAUGGCGAAGGCAGCCAUCUAGCCUAAUACUGACACUGAGGUGCGAAAGCAUGGGGAGCAAACAGGAUUAGAAACCCCGGUAGUCC